ACCGGAUAGCUCGUCUAUCUGUAAGCCAACGGCGGUCUAUAAAGGAAUGAAUUCGUAUUUGGGUGGAAUUAACGGUGGCUGGGUUACUUUGUCGAAGAAAGUGUCUUGCAGAGAUUGAUGUCGGCAUUCGUACCUUGGCGUAGGCUGAGGUACGGAGGUUGCUAAGUACUGGGGUACUGCCCGAGGGUAGCAAUACAACAGGGAAAACUCAGAGCAUCAGAUCAGCUGUAAGAUAGCACGUCGGAGAAGUAUUCUUCAGCCAUUGCCAUCCUAUACGGGAACUCCUCCUUUUGU
rfam:Phycomyces blakesleeanus NRRL 1555(-) unplaced genomic scaffold PHYBLscaffold_34, whole genome shotgun sequence.